UACGUAGGGGGCUAGCGUUGUCCGGAUUUAUUGGGCGUAAAGAGCGUGUAGGCGGCCAGGUAGGUCUGGUGUGAAAACUCGAGGCUUAACCUCGAGAUGUCAUCGGAAACCAUCUGGCUAGAGUCCGGAAGAGGAGAGUGGAAUUCCUGGUGGUAGCGGUGAAAUGCGCAGAUAUCAGGAAGAACACCAAUGGCGAAAGCAGCUCUCUGGGACGGUACUGACGCUGAGACGCGAAAGCGUGGGGAGCGAAACAGG
rnacentral:rRNA from 1 species